AUUGAACGCUGGCGGCAGGCCUAACACAUGCAAGUCGAGCGAGUGGCGGACGGGUGAGUAAUGUAUGGGAAUCUGCCUGAUGGAGGGGGAUAACUACUGGAAACGGUAGCUAAUACCGCAUACCAUCAGAUGUACCCAUAUGGGAUUAGCUAGUAGGUGGGGUAAAGGCUUACCUAGGCGACGAUCCCUAGCUGGUCUGAGAGGCUGAACAGCCACACUGGAACUUAGACACGGUCCAGACUCCGACGGGAGGCAGCAGUGGGGAAUAUUGCACAAUGGGCGCAAGCCUGAUGCAGCCAUGCCGCGUGUAUGAAGAAGGCCUUCGGGUUGUAAAGUACUUUCAGUCGGGAGGCGUUACCCACAGAAGAAGCACCGGCUAACUCCGUGCCAGCAGCCGCGGUAAGAC
rnacentral:rRNA from 1 species